AUUGAACGCUGGCGGCGGGCCUAAUACAUGCAAGUCGAACGAGUGGAGGAAGGGUGAGUAAUGUAUGGGAAACUGCCUGAUGGAGGGGGAAAACUACUGGAAACGGUAGCUAAUACAGCAUACCAUCAGAUGUGCCCAGAUGGGAUUAGCUAGUUGGUGGGGUAACGGCUCACCAAGGCGAAGAUCCCUAGCUGGUCUGAGAGGAUGACCAGCCACACUGGAACUGAGACACGGUCCAGACUCCUACGGGAGGCAGCAGUGGGGAAUAUUGCACAAUGGGCGCAAGCCUGAUGCAGCCAUGCCGCGUGUAUGAAGAAGGCCUUCGGGUUGUAAAGUACUUUCAGCAGGGAGGCGUUACCCGCAGAAGAAGCACCGGCUAACUCCGUGCCAGCAGCCGCGGUAAUUC
rnacentral:rRNA from 1 species